AUCCGUUUCUUGGACGAGAUCUCCAGCCGCCCAUCCUUGACGACUACCUGGCUCACUUCCCCGGAGCCAGGCAGCCGCGGGGAUAGGCGCGGAUGGGGAUCUGGCCCAAGAAGCACACGAGG
rfam:Arthrobacter globiformis NBRC 12137 DNA, contig: ARGLB051.